rnacentral:rRNA from 1 species
UCGGGUGACAGGGAGACAGGUGGUGCAUGGUUGUCGUCAGCUCGUGUCGUGAGAUGUUGGGUUAAGUCCCGCAACGAGCGCAACCCUUUAUCUUUAGUUGCCAUCAGGUAAUGCUGGGCACUCUAGAGAGACUGCCGGUGACAAACCGGAGGAAGGUGGGGAUGACGUCAAAUCAUCAUGCCCCUUAUGUCCUGGGCUACACACGUACUACAAUGGCCGGUACAAAGGGCGGCGAAGGGGUGACCCGGAGCAAAUCCCAGCAAAACCGGUCUCAGUUCGGAUUGUAGUCUGCAACUCGACUACAUGAAGUCGGAAUCGCUAGUAAUCGCAGGUCAGCAUACUGCGGUGAAUACGUUCCCGGGCCUU